rnacentral:rRNA from 1 species
UACGUAGGGCGCGAGCGUUGUCCGGAAUUAUUGGGCGUAAAGAGCUCGUAGGCGGCUUGUCACGUCGGGUGUGAAAGACCGGGGCUUAACUCCGGUUCUGCAUUCGAUACGGGCUAGCUAGAGUGUGGUAGGGGAGAUCGGAAUUCCUGGUGUAGCGGUGAAAUGCGCAGAUAUCAGGAGGAACACCGGUGGCGAAGGCGGAUCUCUGGGACAUUACUGACGCUGAGGAGCGAAAGCGUGGGGAGCGAACAGG